CUUGGAGCGUAAAUUUGCUGCCAAACGAAUCCUCGGAUCAACUGUGAGCAACUUUCUCCCUGAACACCUACGUGAGAAUGCUACAUUGACUACAGCUCAGCGUUCAACACCAUAGAGCCCUCAAAGCUCAUCACUGAGCUAAGGACCCUGGGACUGAACACCUCCCUCUGCAACUGGAUCCUGGACUUCCUGAUGGUCUGCCCCCAGGUGGUAAGGGCACGACUUCAACACCAUCAUUAAGUUUGCUGACGACACAACAGUGGUAGGCCUGAUCCCAGACAACAAGGAGACAACCUAUAGGGAGGAGGUCAGAGACCUGGCCAUGUGGUACCAGGAUAACAACCUCUCCCUCAACAUGAUCAAGACAAAGAAGAUGAUUGUGGACUACAGGAAAAGGAGGACAGAGUACGCCCCUAUUCUCAUCGACGGGGCCUGGUAUGGCAGUGAU